rnacentral:lncRNA from 1 species
CAGGGUCCCACUCUGUGGCCUAAGCUGGAGUGCAGUGGCAGUAUCAGGGCCCACUACAUCCUUCACCUCCUGGGCUCAAACAAUCCUCUCAUCUCAGCCUCCCAAGUAGCUGGCACUAUAGGGAUGGAGGCCUCACUUUGUUGCCCAGGCUGGUCUCGAGCUCCUGGCUUCAGGUGAUCCUCCCAUCUCAGCCUCCCAAAAUGCUGAGAGGGUAUCUGUGAGCCACUGUGACCAGCCAGCAUGUCUUUUUUUGAUCUGCCCAGUACCAACCCUCAUUCUGGGAAUUGCUCUUUCUGUUCCUUUAACCUGACGAUUCCUGUGGGAGCAGCUGUGCUCUGAUAUGGCCUGGCCCUGCCUAGGGCUGAUUAGAGAAAAACAAUACGAAUGAUCCUCUUCUCUGGGAUAUUUGAACCUGAUUCCAGGGGUGAUUAUCAAUAUCUGCAACAAUCAGGGAGAUCCGAGUAUCCACCAAUUAGGACAGGCAUUGGCUGAAAAAUAAUUGAUAUGGGUGCAGCAGUGCACGCAGGCUGAAGAGCACCCUUGUUUGAGAAGAAGGAACAUAGGGAUUCCCUCUUUGGGGGCAGAAGUUGGAAAUUGUGCAUUGGGGAGGCCUGUUUUCUUCCUGUAGACAAAUCUCAUUGUGGUGAAUAGGAAUGAGGCCAAUGGCAAGAUCUGGAGAUGGAGGAAUCUCCUGAAGAUGUUGAAACCCCUGGUCCCAGCUGUUCCAUGGGCCAGCUGGAUUCCUGCCCUUCUAUAGCUGUAUUGCUCAAUCCUUUCCUGGGAUCUGGGAGCAAAUAAAUUUCAUUUU